GGGGACAUAGCUCAGCUGGGAGAGCACCUGCAUCACACGCAGGUUGUCGCAGGUUCGAGCCCUGUUGCCCCCA
rnacentral:tRNA from 2 species